AUUGAACGCUGGCGGCAGGCCUAACACAUGCAAGUCGAGCGGAUGAGGGGUGCUUGCACUCUGAUUCAGCGGCGGACGGGUGAGUAAUGCCUAGGAAUCUGCCCGAUAGUGGGGGACAACGUUUCGAAAGGAACGCUAAUACCGCAUACGUCCUACGGGAGAGAGUGGGGGAUCUUCGGACCUCACGCUAUCGGAUGAGCCUAGGUCGGAUUAGCUAGUUGGUGAGGUAAUGGCUCACCAAGGCUACGAUCCGUAACUGGUCUGAGAGGAUGAUCAGUCACACUGGAACUGAGACACGGUCCAGACUCCUACGGGAGGCAGCAGUGGGGAAUAUUGGACAAUGGGCGAAAGCCUGAUCCAGCCAUGCCGCGUGUGUGAAGAAGGUCUUCGGAUUGUAAAGCACUUUAAGUUGGGAGGAAGGGCUGUAGGCUAAUAUCCUGCAGUUUUGGCGUUACCAACAGAAUAAGCACCGGCUAACUUCGUGCCAGCCGCCGCUGUAA
rnacentral:rRNA from 1 species